rnacentral:lncRNA from 1 species
UUUGUGGAGGGAAAAAAGAGAAAUGCACACACAGAAAUGAGUGCAUGUGAAGUUGGUAAAGGAUGAAUAAAGUCCAUUGACUUUCCAUGUCAGCAUCCUCAUCUUAACACUGCACCAUAGUUUUUGCAAGAUGUUACCACUCUGGGAAGCUAUAUAUACAGGAUUUCUCUGUAUUUUUUCUUAUGAUUACGUGUGAAUCUACAUUAUUCCUAGAGAUUAGCUGCCUGCAGUAGUGUUUAGUGUCAGAGAGUAUCAGUUUAAAUCCCACCCACCACCUACCAUGUGUGUGAUCUCUUACUUAACCUCCCAGAGCCUCAGACCUUCAGGUACACAAUAAGGGUAAAGGUAGCUCCUAUCCCAGAGGCUACUUUUCUGGCUUAUUUAGUUUUUAUUUGCUUAUGUUACCCAGGGUCAGUUUCUGUUGCUUACAACAACACCAGUUUGGCUUAAAUAUAGGAUAUUACUUUAUAGUAGGACGUCAAGUGACCAAGAUAAUAUAUUUUAUCAUCUUGUUAAAGAUAUAAAUGGCUAGUUUGCAGCAAGAUAAAUCUUUUUGCUGAAAAACUAGAUAAAAUACAUACAUAGAAAAGCUGAAUUUUACAAAACUAUGCUUUUUUUUCAAGAUUAGAGAAAGAACUACAAAAGAUGGGUGGCCAAAGGUCCUAGAGAAAAGUAAAACACAUUUGGAUGACUCCAAUCUAUCAAACUGCUUUUCCCAUGAGGUUUUUGAUAGCUUGCAAGGAGCAUUCCCACAGGCUGAGAACAUGAGCAGAAAGCCAAGCUGGAGGCAGGAGCUAGGAAGAGUGCCUGCUGGGAAAUAACCUGGUGCUCAAGGAGACCAAGGCUCUCAGGACACACAGAUCCCAGGCCUGGGUGAGAGGUCAGACACAGAGACACAAGUUCACAUUCUGCUGUUUUCACCCAGAGAUGUUUGCUGAUUGCUAAGUGGGGAAUCAUAAAAGGCCAAGGAGACAAGCAGAAAACUCUUCUAGAUGUCAAAGAGAGAGCAUCACUUUCAUCUCACAGUGCUAAGAAGACAAAACUGGAGCACAGGACUCCUUAGCAAAAGGGGCAAAGAGAGGAAGAGACUAAGUUUGGAGAUGAUAAAAGAAACUGACUGGUUUAAAAUGUUCCUCCCCUAAUACAUCUUCCCAUUACAAGCUAAAAUAAAACAAUAUUCUGGAAGAAUAGAGCAUCAUAUAGAGGCUCUAUUCCAUCAUUCAGACAAAAAUUCCAAAAGUAGCAUGCAUACUAUGAAAUAAAAUACAGAGAAAAAGCAGAAAAUAGAAACAGAUCUAUGGAUGACUCAUAUAUUACCAUCUUAAGCUAUGGAUUUUAAAAUAACUCUGAUUAACAUGUUCAAGAACAUAAAUAACAAAAUUUUUUUAAAAACUGAAAGGGAGAAUUUUAGGAACAAUUAGAAUCUAUAAAUCUUUUGAAACUGGACAUUCUAGAACUCAAAAUGCAAUCACUGAAAUUACAUAUUCAAGAGAUGAGUCCAAGUGCAGAUGUGACACAGAUGAAAAGAAAAGUGGACUGUGUAAGUGCAUAGAAAAUACCCAGGCUGAAGUUCUAAUGAGGUAAAAGUGAAUAGAAAUUAUAUACAUGAUCAUAAGAUUAAGCAUAUGUGUAACUACAGUCCCAAAAGAUAUGAAGAAGAGAAUGGGGGGGGGGGAUGAAGCCCAAUUUUAUAAAAUAAUGGCCAAGAAUGUUCCAAAACUGAUUAAAAAAUAUAAAAUCAUAUAUUGAAAAAUUUUAUGAACCAUUAGAAUGUUAAAUAAAAAGAAAGCCACAUCCAGAGACAUCUUAAUGAAACCACUGAGAGUCUAAAACAAAGAGAGAAACUUAAAAGCAACCACAAUAAACCACAUUAUUUCAAAGGAGUAACAAUAAGACAGACAAGCAAGAUUAAUAAAAAGAAAGCCGUACCUAGGUUCUUAAAACAAAGAGAAAAUCUGCCAGGAACUAGGAGGCAUUGCCUUCAAGGAGCAAACAGUAAGAAUGGCAGCUGACUUCUCAACAGAAACAAUAGAAUCCAGUAGAAAAAGGAAUGAUACCUGUAAAGUGGUUAAAGAAACUAAUAUCUAACCUAGAAUUCUCUGCCCAUGAAACUAUCAUUCAAAAGUGAGGAUUAAAUACUUUCCUAAACAAACAAAAAUCAGCCUAAACUAAAAUAAGAUAGAGUAUCUAUAGGUUAUCAUAAAAAUGACCCCGUUCAGAAGUACAGAUUCAGGAACAUAAAUAAAUGUGUAAAUAUAUGGGUCAAUCUCAAGAAUUAUUAAGGAUACAGAAUAGUAAAAAUAUUGUCUAGUUGUAUUUAAAACAUAUUCAAAAAUAAAAUACACCAAUAACAUGAAAGGUGAGAGGUUAAAUGGAGUAAAACUGUUCUAUGGUAACCGAGCUAUCCUGAAAGUGGGGAAGUGCUAAUUAUACUAGACAAAUACACAGUAAGGACUCAGGGAUACAUGUUAUAGCAUCUAGUUAACUAUUCAAACAAUGACAAGCUAAGGAGAGGGUAUAUAUAACAAAAAAUAUAUGGAUUAAUACAAAAGAAAGCAGGAAAGCAGAGAAAAUGAAACCUAGAAAGGUAAAAAAAAUGCAAGAGAAAGCAAAGAGUAAAAUUGUAGGUAUAAACUCAAAUAUGUCAGUAUUUACAUAAAAUAUAAAUUGACUAAAUACUCCAGUUAAAAAAUAAUGUCUUAUUGGAUUUUUUUUUUUAAAUCUGUACUGUGAAAGAGACUCACUCUCUACAUAAGGAUGCAAAUAAGCUGAACAUCAAAGCAUGGAAAAACACACAUACACACAUUAAUCAAAAGACUAGAGGUUUAUCUACAAAUAUCAUACAGUCAAUUUCAAAGAAAGAAGCUCUAUUAGAAAUAGAGAGGGAUUUCUUGCAGUGGUGAAAGAAUCUAUCAGGACGACAUGACAAUUGGAAAUGUGCAUGUACCUAAUGAACACAUAUUCAAAACGUGUACAGCAUACAUUGAUAGAAAUAAAAAAGGAAACAGAAAAUCUACAAUCGUUUGGAUAGGGUUAACACGCCUCUCUCAGUAACAGAAUAUGCAGACAAAAUGCCAAAAAGGAUAUAAAACCUUUUUGCACUGUGAUUAACAAACUUGACCUAAUUUACAUGAACAAUGUAUCCAACAACUGCAGAAUUUGCAUACUUUCCAAAUAUCAUGAAACAUUUUUAUACACA